GGUGGCUCAGUGAUAGAGCACUUGCCUUGCAUGCAAGAGGCCCUGGGUUCGAUUCCUCAGCACCA
rnacentral:tRNA from 1 species